rnacentral:misc_RNA from 1 species
AGCAGCCGCGGUAAUUCCAGCUCCAAUAGCGUAUAUUAAAGUUGUUGCAGUUAAAAGCUCGUAGUUGAAUUUCGGGAUCAAAGGAUCGGUCAUGCCUUGGUAUGUACUGGUUUUAUUGGUUCUCACCUUCUAAAGAACCAUAAUGUCAUUCAUUUGAUGUUAUGGGGAAUUAGGACUGUUACCUUGAAAAAUUAGAGUGUUUAAAGCAGGCUUACGCUUGAAUACAUUAGCAUGGAAUAAUGAAAUAGGACGUCAGAUUCUAUUUUGUUGGUUUCUAGGAUCGAUGUAAUGAUUAAUAGGGAUAGUUGGGGGCAUUAGUAUUCAAUUGUCAGAGGUGAAAUUCUUGGAUUUAUUGAAGACUAACUACUGCGAAAGCAUUUGCCAAGGAUGUUUCAUUAAUCAAGAACGAAAGUUAGGGAUCGAAGACGAUCAGAUACCGUGUAGUCUUAACCAUAAACUAUGCCGACUAGGGAUCGGAUGAUGUUAAUUUAUAAUGACUCUAC